GGGGAUGUAGCUCAGUGGUAUAGCGCAUGCUUCACAUGUAUGAGACCCUGGGUUCAAUUCCCAGCUUCUCCA